rfam:Photobacterium marinum strain AK15 contig36, whole genome shotgun sequence.
UCUUUAAUGAGUAUAUGGGGGUAAAGCAGAAAGAUUCAACGGGAUAACCAACAGAAAAUAAAAAAGGAGGCAAAAGCCUCCUUUUUUCAUGCUUU